rnacentral:rRNA from 1 species
CUUGGUCAUUUAGAGGAAGUAAAAGUCGUAACAAGGUUUCCGUAGGUGAACCUGCGGAAGGAUCAUUACCGUGGGGAUUCGUCCCCAUUGAGAUAGCACCCUUUGUUUAUGAGUACCCUUGUUUCCUCGGCGGGCUUGCCCGCCAUGAGGACAUUAAAAACCCUUUGUAGUAGCAGUAUCUUCAGUAAAAAUAAAUAUUAAAACUUUCAACAACAGAUCUCUUGGUUCUGGCAUCGAUGAAGAACGCAGCGAAAUGCGAUAAGUAGUGUGAAUUGCAGAAUUCAGUGAAUCAUCGAAUCUUUGAACGCACAUUGCGCCCUUCGGUAUUCCGUUGGGCAUGCCUGUUCGAGCGUCAUUUAAACCUUCAAGCUCUGCUUGGUGUUGGGUGUUUGUUCCGCCUCUGUGCGUGGACUCGCCUCAAAUUCAUUGGCAGCCGGUAUGUUGGCUUCGUGCGCAGCACAUUGCGUCUCGACUCUGACUAUCUCCUUCCAUCAAGCCUCUUUUUUACUUUGACCUCGGAUCAGGUAGGGAUACCCGCUGAACUUAAGCAUAUCAAUAAGCGGAGGA